rnacentral:rRNA from 1 species
GAUGACGCGUAGGCGAUAGGCUUAACGACAUGCAAGUCGAGGGGUACGAUGGGAGUAGCUUGCUACUUCUGAUGACGACCGGCGGAUGGGUGAGUAACGCGUAUGCAACUUGCCUCUUAGUGGGGAAUAACCCGGAGAAAUCCGGACUAAUACCGCAUACACUUAGUUAUCCGCAUGGAUGAUUAAGGAAAGAUUUAUUGCUAAGAGAUAGGCAUGCGUUCCAUUAGUUAGUUGGUGAGGUAACGGCUCACCAAGGCAUCGAUGGAUAGGGGAGCUGAGAGGCUUAUCCCCCACAUUGGGACUGAGACACGGCCCAA